rnacentral:rRNA from 1 species
UACGUAGGGUGCAAGCGUUGUCCGGAAUUAUUGGGCGUAAAGAGCUCGUAGGCGGUUCGUCGCGUCGGCUGUGAAAUCCCGAGGCCCAACCUCGGGUCUGCAGUCGAUACGGGCGGACUGGAGUUCGGCAGGGGAGACUGGAAUUCCUGGUGUAGCGGUGAAAUGCGCAGAUAUCAGGAGGAACACCGGUGGCGAAGGCGGGUCUCUGGGCCGAUACUGACGUGAGGAGCGAAAGCCAGGGGAGCGAACGGG